rnacentral:sRNA from 1 species
AUGCUGGGAGUGAUGAAGAAGGAGACAAUCCUUUCUCUGCUAUCCAGCUGAGUGAAAGUGGAAGUGACUCUGAUGUGGGAUCUGGUGGAAUAAGACCCAAACAACCCCGCAUGCUUCAGGAGAACACAAGGAUGGACAUGGAAAAUGAAGAAAGCAUGAUGUCCUAUGAGGGAGACGGUGGGGAGGCUUCCCAUGGUUUGGAGGAUAGCAACAUCAGGUGAUGAACUUCAAUACCCUGAUGAAACCAGCUGCUGUGUUGUUGCGAGCUCCCCUGUGGAGAAGCCAACAUGUCAAGGAACUGAGACCCUCAGUCCAACAGUCCACAAGGUACCAAUGAACAAGCCAUUCAGAGAUGGAUCCACAAAGAUCUCUGGAGCAAUGACCAGGUCCUGCUCUACCCGAUUCUCAGCUUUGGGGAUAGAAUUCCCAGAAACAUCUGUGUCCGGAGUUGGUUCCUUCCAGUGGGUUCUUGGUCUUGCUGACUUCAAGAAUGAAGCCGUGGACCUUCGCGCUUCAGGCUGAAGAUAGUGAAAAUCCGUGCCAGACUUGGAUUGGAAGAAUGAACCAAGGCUUUGAGUCUCUUCGUCUCAUCUCCGUUUUGAUACGUGUCUCCUUAGUUUGUAAGCCAAGGAGAGGACUACAGUGAGGAUUGCGGAGGGAAGUGGACCUUAUUGGUCUUUGAGCUCUCACAUCUUUAAAGACUGUUGGUGCUGAGAGAAAAAGUAUCCUCAUCUGGCAGAACUCCCAUAGGGUGUGCUCCCCUUGCUGUUCUGCUUUUGUUUUGCAGAAAGCUGCCUUUUUCAAUGUACUCAUUAGGCUUUCAUUGUUUUUUCCUUUUUUACCUUUUUCAUCUUUCACUGUUGAUAUCACAGGUGGCCAUAUCUUUACCAGUGCAGCUACCAAAUAAGAAAUCAUCUUUUCCACAUUCACUAGUUAGUGAUGGUUGUUGUACUACCAUGAAAUCAGUUUCUUCUUUACUUUUAUUCAGGUUACAAGAUUUCUGGAAGGUUUUAAGAUCAAUUUUAAUUAGUCUUUGUGACUGGUUACUUCAUCCAGGGGACCAAUUUCUCUCUGGAAUAUUAGUCCCGCACCCCUGGAGAGCCUGUGCGGCUGCAUCUCCCUCCGGAGGUGGUUCUGGAGUUGGUUCCUUUUGGUGGGUUCCUGGUCUCGCUGACUUCAAGAAUGAAGCCACGGACCUUCACGUGGAAUCGCCGACUGUGACAAUGUGCAGAGCUAGCUGGUUGAAAUGAAGUCACAACUCGAGGAGAGUCAUGGAUUUUGACGAACGUGAAUCACCUUUAACAUUUUUAUGG